rnacentral:rRNA from 1 species
GUCGAACGAACCUUCGGGUUAGUGGCGGACGGGUGAGUAACGCGUGGGAAUCUGCCCUCAGGAGGGGGAUAACGGUUGGAAACGACCGCUAAUACCCCAUAUGCCGAUAGGUGAAAUGAAUUUCGCCUGAGGAUGAGCCCGCGUCUGAUUAGCUAGUUGGUAAGGUAAAGGCUUACCAAGGCUUCGAUCAGUAGCUGGUCUGAGAGGAUGAUCAGCCACACUGGGACUGAGACACGGCCCAGACUCCUACGGGAGGCAGCAGUGGGGAAUUUUCCGCAAUGGGCGAAAGCCUGACGGAGCAACGCCGCGUGAGGGACGAAGGCCUCUGGGCUGUAAACCUCUUUUCUCAAGGAAGAAGAUAUGACGGUACUUGAGGAAUAAGCCACGGCUAAUUCCGUGCCAGCAGCCGCGGUAAUACGGGAGUGGCAAGCGUUAUCCGGAAUUAUUGGGCGUAAAGCGUCCGCAGGCGGCCUUUCAAGUCUGCUGUUAAAGCGUGGAGCUUAACUCCAUUAUGGCAGUGGAAACUGAUAGGCUUGA